GACGAACGCUGGCGGCGUGCUUAACACAUGCAAGUCGAGCGGUAAGGCCCUUUUGGGGGUACACGAGCGGCGAACGGGUGAGUAACACGUGGGUGACCUGCCCUCAGCUCUGGGAUAAGCCUGGGAAACUGGGUCUAAUACUGGAUAUGACCUUUCCUCGCAUGGGGUUGGGUGGAAAGUUUUUCGGCUGGGGAUGGGCCCGCGGCCUAUCAGCUUGUUGGGUGGGGUGAUGGCCUACCAAGGCGACGACGGGUAGCCGGCCUGAGAGGGCGACCGGCCACACUGGGACUGAGACACGGCCCAGACUCCUACGGGAGGCAGCAGUGGGGAAUAUUGCGCAAUGGGCGGAAGCCUGACGCAGCGACGCCGCGUGGGGGA
rnacentral:rRNA from 1 species